UACGUAGGGGGCAAGCGUUGUCCGGAAUCAUUGGGCGUAAAGAGCGUGUAGGCGGCCCGAUAAGUCCGCCGUGAAAGUCAAGGGCUCAACCCUGGAAAGCCGGUGGAUACUGCCGGGCUAGAGUCCGGAAGAGGCGAGUGGAAUUCCUGGUGUAGCGGUGGAAUGCGCAGAUAUCAGGAGGAACACCAAUAGCGAAGGCAGCUCGCUGGGACGGUACUGACGCUGAGGUGCGAAAGCGUGGGGAGCAAACAGG
rnacentral:rRNA from 1 species